rnacentral:rRNA from 1 species
UACGUAGGGUGCAAGCGUUGUCCGGAAUUAUUGGGCGUAAAGAGCUCGUAGGCGGUUUGUUGCGUCGGCUGUGAAAUCCCGCGGCUCAACUGCGGGUCUGCAGUCGAUACGGGCAGGCUAGAGUUCGGUAGGGGAGACUGGAAUUCCUGGUGUAGCGGUGAAAUGCGCAGAUAUCAGGAGGAACACCGAUGGCGAAGGCAGGUCUCUGGGCCGAUACUGACGCUGAGGAGCGAAAGCGUGGGGAGCGAACAGG